rnacentral:rRNA from 1 species
UCGUAACAAGGUCUCCGUUGGUGAACCAGCGGAGGGAUCAUUACCGAGUUUACAACUCCCAAACCCCUGUGAACAUACCUUAUCGUUGCUUCGGCGGGAUUGCCCCGGCGCCAUCGCGGCCCGGACCCAGGCGCCCGCCGGAGGACCCAAACCCUUGAAUUUAUGAAGUAUCUUCUGAGUAAACAAGCAAAUAAAUUAAAACUUUCAACAACGGAUCUCUUGGUUCUGGCAUCGAUGAAGAACGCAGCGAAAUGCGAUAAGUAAUGUGAAUUGCAGAAUUCCGUGAAUCAUCGAAUCUUUGAACGCACAUUGCGCCCGCCAGUAUUCUGGCGGGCAUGCCUGUUCGAGCGUCAUUUCAACCCUCAAGCCCCCGGGCUUGGUGUUGGGGCUCGGCCCGUCCCUAGCGGCGCGCCGUCCCCGAAAUCUAGUGGCGGUCUCGCUGCAGCCUCCCCUGCGUAGUAGCUAACACCUCGCAACGGGAACUCAGCGCGGCCAUGCCGUUAAACCCCCAACUUUCUGAAGGUUGACCUCGGAUCAGGUAGGAAUACCCGCUGAACUUAAGCAUAUCA